rnacentral:rRNA from 1 species
UACAGAGGUCUCAAGCGUUGUUCGGAUUCAUUGGGCGUAAAGGGUGUGUAGGUGGCGCGCUAAGUCGGGUGUGAAAUUUCGGAGCUUAACUCCGAAACUGCAUUUGAUACUGCCUUGCUUGAGGACUGGAGAGGAGACUGGAAUUCACGGUGUAGCAGUGAAAUGCGUAGAGAUCGUGAGGAACACCAGUGGCGAAGGCGGACUUUCUGGCCUGUUCUUGACGCUGAGGCGCGAAAGGCGUAGG